rnacentral:rRNA from 1 species
UACGUAGGGUGCGAGCGUUAAUCGGAAUUACUGGGCGUAAAGCGUGCGCAGGCGGUUCGUUGUGUCGGCGGUGAAAGCCCCGGGCUCAACCUGGGAAUGGCCGUUGAAACUGGCGAACUGGAGUGUGGCAGAGGGGGGUGGAAUUCCGCGUGUAGCAGUGAAAUGCGUAGAUAUCGAGAGGAACACCUGCGGCGAAGGCGGGUUGCUGGGCUGACACUGACGCUGACAGCGCGAAAGCUAGGGGAGCGAACGGG